rnacentral:ncRNA from 1 species
GAUAGGUCGCUGUCGCUAGCGUGAUUGGACACUGACGCAGAGUCAACUAGCCUUGAUUCCGCGGUUCUUCGCGCGUGGAACCGGGACGGUCCGAGCCAUGAGGGGGGAGGCUCGGACCGUCCGUC